rnacentral:lncRNA from 1 species
AGGACUCCCACUGGAAUAGAAGCUUUCUGAGAGGUUCUGAUCGCCCUUAAGAAGCUCUGUGUGGCUGGAGGAUCGAAAACUUUGGGCACAAGCUGGAAGGUCAUUUACUGCAAACCACUAUCUCCCAGCUAAUCUCCUUUCUCUGGAAUGGACCGAAUAUGGAAUAACAUGGACAUGUCUGAUGCACAUCUGGAGAUGGGACGGCAGCGCAUAAUACUUCCUGGAACUGCGAGACAAUGGGGUUGUCUUUUGACAUUGAGGCAGGUUAUUAAAUAGAAGUGUGAACUAUUAAGAGAUGAUCUUGACCCUCAAUACAUUUUUAUCAAAGUCAAAAAAUAUUUGACACCACUGAACAGCUUAUCACAGGCACAAAAGGGGAAAUGCUUUAUUAUGGAAAUGUGUACUAUGUUCUUCAAAACAGAAGAAUAAAAAUAUAUGCAUUUUUAAAUGAAUAACAGCUUGUAAGACUCCCAAUGAUUAACAGCAGUUGUACAUUAAGUAUUCUCUGAAAUGAUAUUUGUAAACUGGAGGGUUGACCAAUCUUAGUGCGAACUUCCU